rnacentral:rRNA from 1 species
UACGGGGGAUGCAAGCGUUAUCCGGAUUUAUUGGGUUUAAAGGGUGCGUAGGCUGUGAGGUAAGUCAGCGGUGAAAUGCCCCCGCUCAACGGGGUGAAGUGCCAUUGAUACUGCCUUGCUGGAAUGCGGAUGCCGUGGGAGGAAUGUGUGGUGUAGCGGUAAAAUGCAUAGAUAUCACACAGAACACCGAUUGCGAAGGCAUCUCACGAAUCCGCGAUUGACGCUGAUGCACGAAAGCGUGGGUAUCAAACAGG